UACGAAGGGGGCUAGCGUUGUUCGGAUUUACUGGGCGUAAAGCGCACGUAGGCGGACUAUUAAGUCAGGGGUGAAAUCCCGGGGCUCAACCCCGGAACUGCCUUUGAUACUGGUAGUCUUGAGUUCGAGAGAGGUGAGUGGAAUUCCGAGUGUAGAGGUGAAAUUCGUAGAUAUUCGGAGGAACACCAGUGGCGAAGGCGGCUCACUGGCUCGAUACUGACGCUGAGGUGCGAAAGCGUGGGGAGCAAAC
rnacentral:rRNA from 1 species